UAAGGAUUUUGUAAAAAUCUAGGAUUGUUAUCAUUUACAUCUAACACGUUAACAACAACAGUUUUUUGAGAUGACAAAGAAGGAGUCCCGAAAUCCUUCGCAGUAAUUGUUAUGUUAUAUUGGGGUGCAGACUCCCGGUCCAAAUGUGAUUUUGUUACCAAAGAAAACAGAUUUUCUCGAAAUGACUGCUUCAACUCAAAAGGCAAGUUAUCAGAGCAGGCACAUGCAAUUUUAGAAUUUACACCAGAAUCAUAAUCCCUAAUACUAAUGAGUCCAACUACUGUACCUGGUUUUACAUCUUCCGUUACAGAACUCGU